rnacentral:rRNA from 1 species
AGAUUGAACGCUGGCGGCGUGCUUAACACAUGCAAGUCGAGCGGUAACAGGCGUAGCAAUACGUGCUGACGAGCGGCGAACGGGUGCGUAAUACAUGGGAAUCUGCCCUUUGGUGGGGAAUAACCCGGCGAAAGCCGGGCUAAUGCCGCAUAAGAUCUUCGGAUGAAAGCGGGGGAUCGUAAGACCUCGCGCCGAUGGAUGAGCCCAUGUCGGAUUAGCUAGUGUGAGUAA